CCAGUUAUGCAGUUAUUUUAUACAGAUUUUACCAUGAUCUGAUUGGAUAGUGUAAUCAUUUCAAUCUCGUUAUUCUGUGAACUUCGCCCUGAUUGGAUAAAGAGCUCAUAAAUCAAUGGCGCUGACUCCGCCCCGUAUGGUCGUAGUUCUGCCAGAGACGGAAGAGCCAGCGAGACAGUCGUAGAUGGGUUUUUUUCUUUCUUUUUUUGUUUCAAUAAAAGUCUAUAUGAACUAAGUAGACCCGACCCAGCGGAUAUUCCAUUGGUGUCUAUGAGAGACACACCCAGUUAAGAAGACCGGAACUGACAUUUUUGUUCUGUGAUAAACGGUCUGAGUUAACUGUCUUCAUUUAUCCACCAUCUUUGGUUCUGCUUUGAAUACAUUGCAUGGAAAUAUUGCCACAAGCAGUGUCCCGAGUGACGAGUGCGCACAGUACUGUUCCAUCGCAACUUUGCUAGGAUUCUUUUAUGAUUCAAAGUAACGGAAUAUUUAGGCUAAGCGCUCAUCUGUGGAUACGUUAUCAGAAUAACUUGUAUUAUUUGCUUGUAGAAAUACAUUUCCCUUGUUUUCAGUCGUUUGAGAAGUCUACGCUUAGGAUAACUUUGUCUUGCUACCCAGACGUGAAUGGCGCCUGAGCCCAACGCUUCCCCCAGUGUGUGUGUGUGUCAGUGCAGACACACACACCCUCUCCCUCGUCAGUCUCGGUUAUCAGAUAUUUUUACCCUGCCUGGUCCGGAAUCCUGCCAGCCAAGCGGAUAAUGGCCCUACUCUCUCUCCAGUUACCCCUCAGAGUGUAAGGAGCCGAGACCACGACACACACACGCACACACACGCACACACACGCACACACACACACACACACACACGCACACACACACACACACACACACUUCCCUGACAGCUCUGGUUUUGUUUCUGGGUGAUGACAUCAUGACCGG
rnacentral:lncRNA from 13 species